CCCUGCAGGUCAGACCUGGUACUCCGUCUGAAGGUACACAGGUCUGAGCCUGGCCAGUACUUGGAUGGGAGACCAACUAGGAAAGCUGGGUUGCUGCUAGAA
rnacentral:rRNA from 1 species